GACGAACGCUGGCGGCGUGCUUAACACAUGCAAGUCGAACGGAUCUUCUCUUUGUAGCAAUACUUGGGGUUGGUUAGUGGCGAACGGGUGAGUAACACGUGAGAAACCUGCCCUGAAGACGGGGUUAACUGACCGAAAGGUCUGCUAAUACCCGAUGUCAUCAUGUGAUCGCAUGGCUGUGUGAGGAAAUGGAUUCCGCUUUAGGAGGGUCUCGCGGGCUAUCUGCGUGUUGGUGAGGUAAUGGCUCACCAAGGCGACGACGGCUAGCUGGUCUGAGAGGACGACCAGCCACACUGGGACUGAGACACGGCCCAGACUCCUACGGGAGGCAGCAGUGGGGAAUCUUGCGCAAUGGGCGGAAGCCGGACGCAGCAACGCCGCGUGUGGGAUGACGGCUUUCGGGUUGUAAACCACUUUCAGCAGGAACGAAAUUGACGGUACCUGCAGAAGAAGCACCGGCCAACUACGUGCCAGCCGCCGCCGUAA
rnacentral:rRNA from 1 species